ensembl:lncRNA
GCACAUUCAGCACUUUAGGCGCAAACUUAAAAGCGAACUAGUAAUGUAAAGUAAAUUAACUAGCCCUCAUACUCCUCUAACUUCCUUUCAUCAUUGCUCUCUGUCUCUUGUUCUCUCUCCCCUGCAGCAAGCACGUUCCUUCUCAUCAGUCAGGACUCCAGUGGAGAUUUGUGAGGGUAUGAGAGUAUAAACACAUCCUCGUCCUGCUCUUGAACACUUCCAGACUGGCCCUCACACAGCUCUGACUGACUACAAAAUGAGAGAGAGAGAGAGACCGUGUGAAGAAGAAGAAGAAGAAUAUCCUGAGUCAGUGGGGAAAGGGAUGUUGGCUGCAAAGUAAAGUCAUUUAAAACCCACCCAGAUGCCUCCAGGUGGAAAGCGCAGCUAGCGUCAGCACUAGAGAGGUUCACGGAGGGUCUCCGUCACUGCUGCUUGCUCGGUGUGCCCCGGUGGACAGAUGUGGAUGGGGAGAGGGGAACGGAUGAGGUAUGGUCUUGGCUUGUCACCAGGGCAAUGUGUAAGGCUGGCCGGCCAGUCGGCUCGCAGCUUGCGCCUGCAUUCCCCUUCGCUUAAUUAGGGGUUGUUGGUACCACAGAAGGUGUCACCA